CAGUGAGUGGUUCAGUAGGUAGAACACUUGUUUUGGGAACAAGAAGUCAGAGGUUCGAUUCCUCUCUCACUGACCA
rnacentral:tRNA from 2 species